rnacentral:rRNA from 1 species
AGUUUUUUGUUAUUUUAAUAAAAAAUGAUUUCUGCUCGGUGAUUUUUAACAGCCGCGGUAAUUUGACCGUGCAAAGGUAGCAUAAUCAUUUGCUUCGUAAUUGGGGGCUAGAAUGAAUGGAAUUACAAAAUGUAAGCUUUAUUUAAAAGAUGAUAAGAAUUUGCUUUUUUAGUGAAGAAGCUAAAAUUUGUUUAAAAGACAAGAAGACCCUUUUGAGCUUUAUUACUUUUUUAGAUUUUUUCUAUUAGGUAAUUUGGUUGGGGCGACCGAGGAAGAGUUUAAAUCUUCCUUUUAAUAAUUUUGAUCCAUGGAUUGUGAUUAAUAGAUUAAGUUACCAAAGGGAUAACAGCGUUAUUUUUUUUGAGAGUUCUUAUUAAAAAAAAAGAUUGCGACCUCGAUGUUGACUUAUAAUUUCCUUUUGGUGUAGCCGCUAAUAGGGUGGGUCUGUUCGACCUUUAAAAUUUU